rnacentral:rRNA from 1 species
UACGUAGGGUGCGAGCGUUAAUCGGAAUUACUGGGCGUAAAGCGUGCGCAGGCGGCUUUGCAAGACAGAUGUGAAAUCCCCGGGCUCAACCUGGGAACUGCAUUUGUGACUGCAAGGCUAGAGUACGGCAGAGGGGGAUGGAAUUCCGCGUGUAGCAGUGAAAUGCGUAGAUAUGCGGAGGAACACCAAUGGCGAAGGCAAUCCCCUGGGCCUGCACCGACGCUCAUGCACGAAAGCGUGGGGAGCAAACAGG